AACAAACGCUGGCGGCGCGCCUAAUCCAUGCAAGUCGAACGGGGAAAGCUUUCGGGUGAGUACUAGUGGCGCACGGGUGAGUAAUGCGUGGAUAAUCUGCCUUGAAGAGGGGGAUAACCAGUCGAAAGAUUGGCUAAUACCGCAUAAGACCACAGGAACUGAGGUUCUAGAGGUCAAAGGUUUUUCGCUUCAAGAUGAGUCCGCGUAAGAUUAGCUAGUUGGUGAGGUAACGGCUCACCAAGGCGACGAUCUUUAACUGGUCUGAGAGGAUGAUCAGUCACACUAGAACUGAGACACGGUCCAGACACCUACGGGAGGCAGCAGUAGGGAAUAUUGCACAAUGGAGGGAACUCUGAUGCAGCGACGCCGCGUGAGAGAUGAAGUCCUUCGGGUCGUAAAGCUCUGUCGCAGGGGAAUAACACUAUGAAGGUACCCUGUAAGAAAGGAUCGUCUAACUUCGUGCCAGCAGCCACAGUAAAAC
rnacentral:rRNA from 1 species